rnacentral:misc_RNA from 1 species
GAUGAAGAACGUAGCGUAAUGCGAUAAGUAAUGUGAAUUGCAGAAUUCAGUGAAUCAUCGAAUCUUUGAACGCACAUUGCGCCCGCCAGCAUUCUGGCGGGCAUGCCUGUUCGAGCGUCAUUUCAACCCUCGAGCCCCCCCGGGGGCCUCGGUGUUGGGGGACGGCACACCAGCCGCCCCCGAAAUGCAGUGGCGACCCCGCCGCAGCCUCCCCUGCGUAGUAGCACACACCUCGCACCGGAGCGCGGAGGCGGUCACGCCGUAAAACGCCCAACUUUCUUAGAGUUGACCUCGGAUCAGGUAGGAAUACCCGCUGAACUUAAGCAUAUCAAUAAGCGGAGGA